AGUGAACGCUGGCGGCGUGCUUAACACAUGCAAGUCGAACGAUGAAGCCUAGCUUGCUAGGUGGAUUAGUGGCGCACGGGUGAGUAAUAUAUAGCUAAUCUGCCCUUUGGUGGGGGACAACAGUUGGAAACGACUGCUAAUACCCCAUACUCCUUCUACUUAUAAGAGUAGUCGGGAAAACUCCGGUGCCAAAGGAUGAGGCUGUACGGUAUCAGGUAGUUGGUGAGGUAAUGGCUCACCAAGCCUAUGACGCCUAGCUGGUCUGAGAGGAUGAUCAGCCACACUGGAACUGAGACACGGUCCAG
rnacentral:rRNA from 1 species